UGAGGAAUAUUGGUCAAUGGGCGUUAGCCUGAACCAGCCAAGUAGCGUGAAGGAUGAAGGCUCUAUGGGUCGUAAACUUCUUUUAUAUAAGAAUAAAGUGCAGUAUGUAUACUGUUUUGUAUGUAUUAUAUGAAUAAGGAUCGGCUAACUCCGUGCCAGCAGCCGCGGUAAUACGGAGGAUCCGAGCGUUAUCCGGAUUUAUUGGGUUUAAAGGGAGCGUAGGUGGACUGGUAAGUCAGUUGUGAAAGUUUGCGGCUCAACCGUAAAAUUGCAGUUGAUACUGUCAGUCUUGAGUACAGUAGAGGUGGGCGGAAUUCGUGGUGUAGCGGUGAAAUGCUUAGAUAUCACGAAGAACUCCGAUUGAGAAGGCAGCUCACUGGACUGCAACUGACACUGAUGCUCGAAAGUGUGGGUAUCAAACAGG
rnacentral:rRNA from 1 species